AUCCAGCUGACAAGUCACAAAUAGGAUGAAACGUGCGUCUUGGAU
rnacentral:hammerhead_ribozyme from 1 species